rnacentral:rRNA from 1 species
GACAGAGGGUGCAACCGUUGUUCGGAAUUACUGGGCGUAAAGGGCGCGUAGGCGGUCUUGUAAGUCUUGUGUGAAAUCCCUCGGCUUAACUGAGGAACUGCACGAGAUACUGCGAGACUUGAGUUCGGGAGAGGAAAGCGGAAUUCCGGGUGUAGCGGUGAAAUGCGUAGAUAUCCGGAGGAACACCGGUGGCGAAGGCGGCUUUCUGGACCGACACUGACGCUGAGGCGCGAAAGCUAGGGGAGCAAACGGG